rnacentral:tRNA from 1 species
GUUAUGGUAGUUUAAUAAAACUCUAGUUUGUGAUACUAAAAAUGGAAACCACUCCCCAUAAC